rnacentral:rRNA from 1 species
UGCGCAGGCGGAAUGAUUAGUCAGUGGUGAAAUCCUACAGCUCAACUGUAGAACUGCCAUUGAUACUGUCAUUCUUGAGUACAGUUGAAGUGGGCGGAAUGUAUCAUGUAGCGGUGAAAUGCAUAGAUAUGGUACAGAACUCCGAUAGCGAAGGCAGCUCACUAAACUGAAACUGACGCUCAGGCACGGAAGCGUGGGGAGCAAACAGGAUUAGAUACCCUGGUAGUCC